GAUGAACGCUGGCGGCGUGCUUAACACAUGCAAGUCGAACGAUGAACCUCACUUGUGGGGGGAUUAGUGGCGAACGGGUGAGUAACACGUGAGUAACCUGCCCUUAACUCUGGGAUAAGCCUGGGAAACUGGGUCUAAUACCGGAUAUGACUCCUCAUCGCAUGGUGGGGGGUGGAAAGCUUUAUUGUGGUUUUGGAUGGACUCGCGGCCUAUCAGCUUGUUGGUGAGGUAAUGGCUCACCAAGGCGACGACGGGUAGCCGGCCUGAGAGGGUGACCGGCCACACUGGGACUGAGACACGGCCCAGACUCCUACGGGAGGCAGCAGUGGGGAAUAUUGCACAAUGGGCGAAAGCCUGAUGCAGCGACGCCGCGUGAGGGAUGACGGCCUUCGGGUUGUAAACCUCUUUCAGUAGGGAAGAAGCGAAAGUGACGGUACCUGCAGAAGAAGCGCCGGCUAACUACGUGCCAGCAGCCGCGGUAAUACGUAGGGCGCAAGCGUUAUCCGGAAUUAUUGGGCGUAAAGAGCUCGUAGGCGGUUUGUCGCGUCUGCCGUGAAAGUCCGGGGCUCAACUCCGGAUCUGCGGUGGGUACGGGCAGACUAGAGUGAUGUAGGGGAGACUGGAAUUCCUGGUGUAGCGGUGAAAUGCGCAGAUAUCAGGAGGAACACCGAUGGCGAAAGGCAGGUCUCUGGGCAUUAACUGACGCUGAGGAGCGAAAGCAUGGGGGAGCGAAACAGGAUUAGAUACCCUGG
rnacentral:rRNA from 1 species